rnacentral:ncRNA from 1 species
GCGGUCCUGACGUGCAAAUCGGUCGUCCGACCCGGGUCUAGGGGCGAAAGACUAAUCGAACCAUCUAGUAGCUGGUUCCCUCCGAAGUUUCCCUCAGGAUAGCUGGCACUCGUUGCGGGGCAGUUUUACCCGGUAAAGCGAAUGAUUAGAGGUCUUGGGGCCGAAACGAUCUCAACCUAUUCUCAAACUUUCAAUGGGUAAGGGGGCCGGCUCGCUGGCGUGGAGCCGUGCCGUGGAAUGCGAGUGCUCAGUGGGCCACUUUUGGUAAGCAGAACUGGCGCUGCGGGAUGAACCGAACGCUGGGUUAAGGCGCCCGAUGCCGACGCUCAUCAGAGC